rnacentral:lncRNA from 1 species
GCAGGAUUCCCAAAGUCUUCACCAAAGUGCUAAAUUCACUAUAUUUGGUGUGUUGGGUUUUCUGAGCUAAUCAAGGACAGUCUUAGCUUUGUAGCCGGGUCAUGACUGGUUGGAGGAGACCAGGGGAAUAUAAGCAUCCAUGGGAAUGACCAGAAAUCUUGGGAAAGGCUGUGGGUUUGUAUUGUUUGUGGUCUAGGAUAUCUCCUGUAGAUCUUAAAAAAGAAAGAACUUCAUAAGUAUUAUCUGGAUCAAAAACUUAUUUUUUGACACAGAUAAAAAAAGCUAAGAGAGAAACUGAUGACAGGAGUCAUUAUUUUGUGAAAUUAAUAAUACAUACUUGUUCAUUUUGGAACAAAACUCUCAGUGUUUACACCAAGUAUUGCCUUCUCUUAGUGAAUCCAAUAUUUUUCCCAUAAAAAACCCCUCUUGCCCUUGUCCGGCUGGGCAAAAUAACUGGGAGAUGACAAGCAACUUGAAGGUUGAAGCGGGAACUAAUUUAUUGCUAGUGAACUCAGCGGGAACUGAGUGGGGGAACUCAAAGUAGCAGGUACCCUAGGUAGCAGGCACUGCCACUCUGCCUGACUGCAGAGGUACAAAUACCCAACUAAUUACACACAGCUUAACUUAAUUAACAUAAACUAGAUACAGCAGUCAGUCAUUAAGGAAUCCUUAUCAUCUUAAUGGCUCGCUGACAUUGGCUCAGAAACCACUCCUCCUAGCAUACUGCCAGGCGCCAUCUUAACUUGGUUGUGGCCCUCAUCACCCUAGAUAUUAUAAUGUCCUAUAUGUGAGGUGUGCUAAGUCUAAUCUGCUAUGAAUCAACUUUACACAGUCUAGGUGUUGGACAUCUUUUUCAUUCUCAUUAGUUUGGGUAUCUUCACAUAGUAUAUUUAUCAUGUUUUGGGAAAUUUUUAGUUCUUCUAGUUCAAUAAUUUGCAUUUGUAUCCACCUAUAUUGAGCAGUUGGCCAUUGUCUUGUUCCAUUUGGGCUACAUAACAAAAUACCACAACCAGGCAGGUUAUGAGCAACUCACAUUUAUUUUUCAUAGUCUGGAGGCUGGAAGUCCAUGGUCAAGGCACUGGCCGAUUCAAUAUGUCAUGAAAGCCUGCCCUCUGGUUCAUAGAUGACAGUUUCUCACUGUGUCCUCCCAUGGUAGGAGGAAUACCUGGCUCUCUCUUUAUAAGGGAGACCAUCCCAAUCAGGAGAGUUCUGCGUUCAUGAGCUCAUCACCUCCCAAAGGCCAACCCAGGUACCAUGGCAGUGCUGAUUAGGCUCCAGCAUGUGUCUGGGGGACACAAAUAUUCAGCCACAGCAGUUACUUGUCUUCUGAAGUCCUUGCUUAGGGGUCUCAACACCUCUACUACUGAUUUCUGGAAUGAAAAUGCAAAUAAGUUUGUCUUCAUGCAAGGAGGGCCUCAGGCAAGACCUCUGCCAUUUGGGUUUCUCGGUGCCAUUCUAAGCUCAUCUCUCAUCUCAUCAUGCUCUGACCCAACUAGCUUCAGUUCCCAAGAGAGUCCCAUGGUUUUGUUUGUAUCUGGUUUUCAUCUUGCCUCCUCAGCCGCAUCUGGGGAAAGUGCCAGAAAAUGAUGCUAAUUUGCAAGUUUAUAAUGAGUCAGAGAAAGGCUUAUAUUUCACAUCUUUGGGAUAUUAUUAGCUCCUUCUCUCAUCUCAAAUAUUAUGAUUAUUUACCUUUGGGUAUGCUGUAUCUCUGAAGGAAAUUUAAAGACUGCUAUGUUUAUUAGGACAGUGGAAACCUGACUUAUGUUCUAGAAAUUCUACCUAAUUGAAUCCAAAAUUUGCUAGAUAUUAAAACGCAAAAACAAAAUGUUGAUGUGAUUUAAACUGGUAACUUAUACUUCUUGAUUUUUUGUAAGAAUGUUCACUUGGCCACCAUCAUAAAUUCUGUCAGACAUAUCAGAUUCUAUUAUGGGAGGUUUUAAUGAUUUAUUUGUGCACAAAACUUAUAAAAAAUCAUUAAGGUAAUCUGGGCUUGAGAGAAUUGUAUCUGGUUUGUAGUCAUGGAGUCUCACUUGGGGUGGAGCUUAACUAAUCCAGGUGGCAUCUGGUAAGAGGGGUUGGUCCCUGACCACUGCUCAUUGACUCAUUCUCUAGUGACCACACCUAGCUGAGGGAACUCACUCAGGGAAAUGUUUUUAGUUGUAACUCUUGGGAUUUUUCAAUUUUAUAUAUAGAAAGUUGAGAAAUAGACUGUAUCUGGACAGCUAUAUCCUUUCCUUAUAAGUCAUUGUUUAAAUUUGAAUAGGGAGCAAGUCAAGAGUAUUUCUAGAAAUUUGGGUUGGAAUUGAGCUAAUUAAAAAAUAAUAUGUGUAAGAUAAUGAAUUAAAAAUUAAAUCCUUCGAAACUUCUGUUUUCCCAGUUCCCCGUUUUACUCUUUAACCACAUUGAUCUGAGCAGGGCUCUCCUUC